AAUGAACGUUGGCGGCAUGGAUUAGGCAUGCAAGUCGAGCGAGAAGGAAAUCAAAGUUUACUUUGGUUUCCGGAAAGCGGCGAAAGGGAGAGUAACGCGUAGUUAUCUACCCCAAGGCCCGGAAUAGCUGCGGGAAACUGCAGGUAAUGCCGGAUAAUAUCCCCGGAUCAAAGGUGUGAUUCCGCCUUGGGAGGAGACUGCGUUGUACUAGCUUGUUGGUAGGGUAAUGGCCUACCAAGGCUACGAUGCAUAGCGGGCGUGAGAGCGUGGCCCGGGUCACUGGGACUGACACACUGCCCAGACACCGACGGGUGGCUGCAGUCGAGAAUCUUCGGCAAUGGGCGAAAGCCUGACCGAGGGAUGCCGCGUGCGGGAUGAAGGCCCUCGGGUUGUAAACCGCUGUCGUAGGGGAGAAAGGACCGUUGAAGAGACGGUUUUGAUCUAUCCUAGGAGGAAGUCCGGGCUAAGUUCGUGCCAGCCGCCGCAGUAAGAC
rnacentral:rRNA from 1 species